ACGAAUAACUAUGGUGUCUUGGUUGUAGCUGGCUCCUCGGAGCAUUGUGCACGCCCGCCAUUUUUAUCUUUCCACCUGUGCACCGACUGUAGGUGUCUGGAUAACCCUCGUCUUCCUCUCUGGAGGAAGGCGGAUGCGAGGAUUGCCCGUGAGGGCUCUCCUCGAAUUUCCAGGCUCCUACGUCUUUUACACACCCCAACAGUAUGAUAUAGAAUGAUAGUCAAUGGGCUUUGACAGCCUAUAUAACACUAUA
rnacentral:misc_RNA from 1 species